GAAUUCGCCCUUAGAGUUUGAUCCUGGCUCAGGACGAACGCUGGCGGCGUGCCUAACACAUGCAAGUCGAACGGAACUUCUUUAAAAGAUUUCUUCGGAAUGAAUUUGAUUAAGUUUAGUGGCGGACGGGUGAGUAACGCGUGAGUAACCUGCCUCUGAGAGGGGAAUAACAUUCUGAAAAGAAUGCUAUUACCGCAUAACAUAUAUUUAUCGCAUGGUAGAUAUAUCAAAGAUUUAUCGCUCAGAGAUGGACUCGCGUCCGAUUAGUUAGUUGGUGAGGUAACGGCUCACCAAGACCGCGAUCGGUAGCCGGACUGAGAGGUUGAACGGCCACAUUGGGACUGAGACACGGCCCAGACUCCUACGGGAGGCAGCAGUGGGGGAUAUUGCGCAAUGGGGGAAACCCUGACGCAGCAACGCCGCGUGAAGGAUGAAGGUCUUCGGAUUGUAAACUUCUUUUAUUAAGGACGAAGAAAGUGACGGUACUUAAUGAAUAAGCUCCGGCUAACUACGUGCCAGCAGCCGCGGUAAUACGUAGGGAGCAAGCGUUGUCCGGAUUUACUGGGUGUAAAGGGUGCGUAGGCGGCUUUGCAAGUCAGAUGUGAAAUCUAUGGGCUCAACCCAUAGCCUGCAUUUGAAACUGCAGAGCUUGAGUGAAGUAGAGGCAGGCGGAAUUCCCCGUGUAGCGGUGAAAUGCAUAGAGAUGGGGAGGAACACCAGUGGCGAAGGCGGCCUGCUGGGCUUUAACUGACGCUGAGGCACGAAAGCGUGGGUAGCAAACAGGAUUAGAUACCCUGGUAGUCCACGCUGUAAACGAUGAUUACUAGGUGUGGGGGGCCUGACCCCUUCCGUGCCGGAUUAACCCAAUAAG
rnacentral:rRNA from 1 species